CGGCUGUAGAAGAUCCUCGAACACGGCCCGCUGCCGUAAGGAUCGCCGUCCUGGUGUAGAUCCACGAAUUCGUAGAGCGCGCGAAAAUUUACUGGCCUGUGGAAUGGAGAAAAAUUUCGUCAUCGGUAUGCGUCUGAAGCUCGUUAAAGAGAGCAGGCUGUUUUUCUUUCCGGAUGGAAGACCCGGUUCCGUGGCUACGUGACUGGAAUCCGCCCCCGCCAUUGGCACGCCACUUUUCCUCAGUUGCUGGAAUCAGCUCCAGUACUCCAGCUUGGAUCAUCUACGACCCGGUGCACCUUCAUCGAAUUCGGCUGGCUCCGAUUCGGGGAUCGUUAAACACGCGAGUGGGUCAAGGACGCGGGCUGAACUUGCUUCUUCAGCGUGCGCCAGCCGAGAGGAUAGUCGUUAGCGAGAGGAAAGUGGAAAUGUUCGCUUUUCUAUCGACUGACGGCUGUUUUCGAAGAGUUUCCAAGAACCAGGGACAAGAUUCGCGAUAGAAACACUUUCAACAAUACCGUGCAAGUUGUAUUCGUUGGUCUGAAUGGAACGCUAUACUACCGCCUUGCAGCGUGAUGGAGGCUGUUUACACGAGUACACUGACCCAGGAGUACCUCGGCUCUUUGUGCUCGUCGCCAUUCACGGACGUUGGCGACGAUUAAACAACACGGUACCUGCGACACCCAAUAAAUACGAGCAACCAUCCCCGAGCGUAACAACUGCACCAAGCAUAAACCAUUUUGCGGAGUUCUUGAAAAUAUCCGAUCGCUUCAGAGAUAUCCAGCGAAAAGACCAGCGAUUUACCACGAUUAUGAUCCUACCUUUAUGAAACGUUUCCACGUACAGUUACAGAGAAACGAACCUUUAUAACGAUCAUGGUCUUUCGCAAUUUUAUCCCGUCUAUGUGCAUUUGUCGCUAAUGAUUCCGCGACUAUGAUCAAAUAACGCAGAACGCUUAGUCGCUUUCAGCGGAUAAAAAGAAAAUGUUAAAGCACCUUCCGCCGAGAUGUUCUACUUCGAACAGUCGACGACUUUAUAUUUCCUGCCAGAUAUUUUAUUCGCUCGAUCCGCUUCUACAAGAUAUUACGUAACCCAGGGGGGAAAAAUUCGCCAACGGUUGGCAUUUGCGAUGCUUCAAAUUCGAGAUACCCAUUAUUUCGAAGAGCUGUCAUUUGUUAUAAAAUAAUUCAAAAGGCUACUCGUUUAUCAUUAAAGCAGGUGGAAUAAAACGAUGAAACGUAGGACGUAUAUCGUCGAUCAUAAAUAUGAGAACACUCGUUCGUUACGCUUAUUGGAAAAUGUUAACAAAUUUCACUUUAUUUAUCAACGACUACUCACUCGUUCGUUGUUUAAACACGCGAAAACCAAAGUCGAGAGACUCGGAAACUGAAAUUCCGUUCCAGCAAUUAUUCGAAAAAAUAUCCAGCGACUCGAUAUCGAAGGAACAGAACGGGAAUAAUUGGAUCGUUUCGAAAGCCAAGCACUCGUGCCACUUAAAAUUCGAGAUACUGUCGUUAUAAAUAUGAUAAAUACGAAAACCUAAGAAAUACAAUAUCCUUUUCAAGCUGCUCCCAAUUCUUAUUUGUUAAACAGAACAAUGAACUAUAUACCCGUUCGCCGUUCGAACACACGGAACGAGAUGAUGAAACAACGAUUACCUUGGAAUGGAAAAUCUUGCGGCAAUUAUUCGAAAAAGUAUCGAACGAUUCGCUCGGAGGCAAAGAAAACGAAACACUCGGCAAUAAAUUGGACCUUCUGGAAAGCCAAGCGAAAAGGUGCACCGAUAACUCAAACCUAACUCUCCCUCGGUCGAUUCAAAAGCCAAGAUGCUCGUCUACCGACCUUCUCCAGGUACAUUAAUCACGAGAUCCCCAGGAACAGCGGACGAAAGAGCCGAAAGUCACGGAUGACCUCCUGACACUUUGCUGUGGACACGCGAGAUACCGAUUUCUCGGACAGCGAGCGUGGGCGACGAUUCUCGCGAAGCGAAACGACAAACACGUCGGGACAAAAGGGCAAAGAGGAGAAAGCGGAGGACGAGGACGAAACGAAAAUAGACGAAAGGAAAGGAGAAGAAGGUAGCUCGAGUUCGUUGUAAAAAGACACGAAGCGCGGAAGAAACGGGCAAUCUGGAAAUGUACCACGGCAUAUUCUGACGUUGAUUGAAAGUAGUUUGUCAACGGCGGCCUUCCAUCAGACAGAUUGCUCGAAUUUCCGCGGCGGUAUCGUUUUUAAUACCGUGAAAUCUCGGCGUCCCGACGGCACGGCGACCUAUUAGUCGAAACUACGCGAUGGCGGUUACAAGGGUAGAAGAAACAGGGACUUUUGACCGAUGAACGAGUAGCACGCUCGACGACGAACGUUGGAAGUAACGCGGUUGACGAGUGCAGAGAGGCUUUUUCGGCGGAAAACGUGACAAGAGGAACGCCGUGUUAAUCGUCGAGGCUCGUGCAGUAAAAGUUCAAAAAAGAUAAAAGGAAUUGUACGAACGAUUUUCGAGUAAAGAUUCGAACGAGGUAGGUUCCACGAUGAUCCCUGUGACAGUCGUAAAGGGAAAUAGUAGAGAACGUAGUUUCCUUCUUUUCAAGGGUAGAGACUCGUUUCUGGAAGAGUUGGUAUGACACUUGGAGAGAAACUCAUAAAACAUAAUUCACAAAGACGAAAAAAACGUUUGCGUAAAGGAGUCGCUUCUGGAAGAAUUGGCACGACACUUGGGAAAAAUUCAUAAAACGCAAGAGGUGAAAAGCGCGAGGUUUCGAGAACGUUAUUUCAGAUAAUUAUCGCAGCACUGGCGGACAGGCGGCGAAGAAAACGUUAAAGAAAGAAAGGAAAAAAGCGCGCGCUAUUUUUCUGCGCGUGAAAAAUCGCGUGAAGUUUAAGUGGAUGUACGGGACCCUCUUUGAAAAAUCGGAACUGUUCGUUUCGGUGGCGUUACGAGCGUGGAAAACGGCUCGUACGAUCGUCGCGCUCUUGCUCGUGCUUUUCAACUCGAUCAAAGAACACGCGUUUCUCCAACGAACUCACAAAGAAUCCAUCGAUCCACCCGGCACGACGUUUCCUUUGACUCGCCUUGACUUCUCGAUUCUGUUGCCGUCUCGAACGUGUCAGCGAUUCCGAUCUCUCGAUCGACUUUCCAACUUCAAACUCUCCGAGAAAUCGCCGACUAAACGUUCUCGACCAAACGCCCGAAACCCGUGAUAGGGUCGUGCUCCAAUUUCGCAGAACUCUGGACACGUCUCGAAAUUUCUAACGGACUAUUUCCGUCCGAUGUGCAACGAAUUUACGUCACUUUAGGAAUAGCGUUGAGAAACACGCGUUUAAAGUCGAACACGAAGGCCACCGGAGACUUCUCCGAACUUGCGUCACCGAGAGACCAUCUACGCGCCAGACGUCCUUGACCAGUCUCGCAACUAAAAGCCCUCGCUCACCCCAAGAAAAUCAGUCAACCCGAUUCACCCCGUUUCCAGAACGUCAAGGAUGUUUCGAAAUGCCAAGGAUGAGCCGUACAACUUCCACGGACUCUCCCACAGCCAGUCUCUAACUGCGUAAAACUCUAGCCAAGUUCCACGAACGUCCUUGACCACGCUCACCAUUCGAUCCUCCGUUCACCCCACUGCCAAACCACCCGUAUCGCCAUAUACGCGACGUACGUUCAACGAUAAUGCUAAUUCCUCGCAAGUUGUCCAGGUGCUCCGAAGCACGGACAGAUACUACGAACACUUAACGAAUAGCCCGGUUGUCCGCGUAAAACCUACCAACCCCAAUUCCUCCGCAAGCUGGUCUCAUCCAAAGCCGAGUCUCCUCUCCAUCGACUUCUCCCGACAACCCCGAUGAUUCUCGUUGCGAUCCAAACGAUCUUGAGAUCGCCCUUGCAGAUCCUCUCUAGGACGCCACGUCCUCCGGUAUACGUGUACACGCAUACAUACACGCGUGUAUCCUUGCGUGAUAUGUACGUCCUAGAUAUCCAACGAGUACGUACGGUCACGAAACUCCGUAGAAGCGUGUACGACGCGUCGAAAAGUAAGCGAUCGUAUUGAAACGAGAGAUAGAGUAAGAGAAAGAGACAGAGAGAGAGUGUGUGUGUGAGUGAGAGAAA